AUGUCGUUAUGGUCUGAUACAUUGAAAUAUUGCUAUUGCCUUUAUGUUAGUGUUGUUUUGUUCAUAUAUUUGCUACUGUUGUGUUGUUUGGUCCAUAUGCCUCAUUUAGAGCCAAAAUUUUUUUGGAUGAAUACCCAGCCUUCAUUUCCUGGCGCCGCCACUGUGUGUGCUGCUUGUCCGAGUAGAGGUUCGUGGGCACAAUGUACGUCGAUGCCGGUGACUCUCCAAGAUGGUGGCUUUCUCUGGACCAGAGUCCCGCCACCCACUCGCUAUGUCCCGUCGGCAUUCGAGGGUGGUUGA
rnacentral:rRNA from 1 species